rnacentral:rRNA from 1 species
UGGCGGCGUGCUUAACACAUGCAAGUCGAACGAUGAAGCCCAGCUUGCUGGGUGGAUUAGUGGCGAACGGGUGAGUAACACGUGAGCAACCUGCCCCUGACUCUGGGAUAACAGCCGGAAACGGUUGCUAAUACCGGAUAUGCACCGUGGCCGCAUGGUCUGUGGUGGGAAAGAUUUUUCGGUUGGGGAUGGGCUCGCGGCCUAUCAGCUUGUUGGUGAGGUAGUGGCUCACCAAGGCGUCGACGGGUAGCCGGCCUGAGAGGGUGACCGGCCACACUGGGACUGAGACACGGCCCA